UACGGAGGGGGCAAGCGUUGCUCGGAUUCACUGGGCGUAAAGCGUGCGCAGGCGGCCCGUUAAGACAGGUGUGAAAUCCCUGGGCUCAACCUAGGAAUUGCGCUUGUGACUGGCGGGCUCGAGUACGGUAGAGGGGGGUGGAAUUCCUGGUGUAGCAGUGAAAUGCGUAGAGAUCAGGAGGAACACCGAUGGCGAAGGCAGCCCCCUGGGCCUGUACUGACGCUCAUGCACGAAAGCGUGGGGAGCAAACAGG
rnacentral:rRNA from 1 species